ensembl:miRNA
GGUCCUGGUCCCGGUCCUGGUCCAGGUCCUGGUCCUGGUCCCGGUCCUGGUCCCGGUCCUGGUCCUGGUCCAGGUC